rnacentral:rRNA from 1 species
AUUGAACGCUGGCGGAAUGCUUUACACAUGCAAGUCGAACGGCAGCACGGGGCAACCUGGUGGCGAGUGGCGAACGGGUGAGUAAUACAUCGGAACGUGCCCAAUCGUGGGGGAUAACGUAGCGAAAGUUACGCUAAUACCGCAUACGAUCUACGGAUGAAAGCGGGGAUCGCAAGACCUCGCGCGAAUGGAGCGGCCGAUGUCAGAUUAGGUAGUUGGUGGGUAAAGGCUUACCAAGCCGCGAUCUGUAGCUGGUCUGAGAGGAUGAUCAGCCACACUGGGACUGAGACACGGCCCAGACUCCUACGGGAGGCAGCAGUGGGGAAUUUUGGACAAUGGGCGAAAGCCUGAUCCAGCCAUUCCGCGUGCAGGAUGAAGGCCCUCGGGUUGUAAACCUCUUUUGUACGGGAAGAAGGAAGUGACGGUACUGUACGAAUAAGUCCCGGCUAACUACGUG